UUGGCACCCUAGGUCAGGUAUACUUAUGUAGCCUUAAUUUUUUGGUUAUGACACAGUUUGGAUACAAAUAUUCGUAAUUCGUGCUUUUCUUUUGACACUUAUUUAUCAAAAAUCAGCCAAGUAGAGUUUUGUAUGUACAUCUGAAGUAUACAUCUUAAUCAGAAUUCUUACAUUCCUACUUACCAAAAAUAAAAUGAAAUCAGAAUUCUUACAUUCCAAUUUCAAUAGAUAGUAGAAUGUAUCCUGGGUUUUACACAAUAGUUUCCUUUGCAAUUUAGUUUGUAAAUAUACAUGUGAGGUGUUUUGGGAAAACUUCAAAAUGCCAUAUUGGUAUAAGAAGAAUAUAAAACCAAUGAAGAUUUAAUGCACAUAUUUCUUUUUCAAGUGAAUAGCCCUAAAGUAUAUGCUGGUUGCAAGUAUGCUUAUUAUUGAUUAAAAUCAGAGAUGUCAGCUUUGAUUGUCAUUGUUGCUAAAAUUUGAGCCUAGAUAGAGAGGAAUGAUUGAUAUUUUUUAUUCUUUAUAAUAAUUAUAUGUUUUCCUGCUCGACUCCUUAUGUUGGAAGAUGUUUAGUUAAAUUACCGUGUUUGAUGAAUGGCAAAGCAUGCAGCAAACAAGAACCGAUUCAACAUUCAAACACAAGCCAUUUAAAUUUGGAUUUGGGAUUCAAGAGCCAUAAUGAAAACCAUGAAUCAGAUGGUGGAAACAAGGAGGCCGAGUUGGGUAGACGGAGGUUAGGUUGGUUUCGAACGUAGCUUGAUAUACUUCAACAUUAUUCCAGACACAGAAAACAGAAGGAUGAAAGAAAUGACUUGUCUUUAAAUUGCUGAUUCUAAUGUUAUUGUUAUGCUUUUGAUUAUUUGAUUUUUUGCUGGAAAUAUCAAUGUCAAUGUCAAAUUGCUUUCUUUUGGAUGUUUGUGAUGAUAUAUUAGAAUAAUUGCUGAUAUUAAUCAGUGGAUAUGAAUGAAAGUUGUUAUGGUGUUUGGCUC